CAGUAGCCGCGGUAACACAGAGGGUGCGAGCGUUAAUCGGAUUUACUGGGCGUAAAGCGUGCGUAGGCGGCUUUUUAAGUCGGAUGUGAAAUCCCCGAGCUUAACUUGGGAAUUGCAUUCGAUACUGGGAAGCUAGAGUAUGGGAGAGGAUGGUAGAAUUCCAGGUGUAGCGGUGAAAUGCGUAGAGAUCUGGAGGAAUACCGAUGGCGAAGGCAGCCAUCUGGCCUAAUACUGACGCUGAGGAGCGAAAGCGUGGGGAGCGAACAGGAUUAGAUACCCCAGUAGUCCCUGUCUCUUAUAC
rnacentral:rRNA from 1 species